GUCUAUGGCCAUACCACCUUGAACACACCCAAUCUCAUCUGAUCUCAAAAGCUAAGUAGGGUCGGAUAGUACUUGGAUGGGAGACCGCCUGGCAAUACUGGGUACUGUAGGUU
rnacentral:rRNA from 1 species